rnacentral:lncRNA from 1 species
UGUAUUUUAUGCUUAUUAUUAACAAAGUCACUGUUCUGGAAAGCUUUGUGAAACUUGUUCUGAAUUUAAUCUUGCUUCUGAAGGCUGUCUUCCUAGAAUAUGUAAAUAUUGAAAUCCAAGAAACUAAGGAGGAGGAGGAGGGAAUGGAGUGGAAACACACGUGCAAUGAGACUACUCAAAGAAGUUAUCACCAUCACAAGCCUGGAAGACUAUUGGAAUUGAGCAGAUGGACCCAGAUAACUGUGAGCUCCAUGUUUUAAACCACGGGGAUGUGCAAGGUGUCAGAAGCAAAGAGCUGGGUCAGAAAGGUAACUCCAUCAUUCAGUGACUGCUGACGGGCCACAGGGCACAGUGAGGGGCAGGGAGGGACAAGUUAAUGGCAGUAGCUGUGUCUCUUGGAAGUGUUCGUGCUCUCGAUUAUUGCAGUGAUACACAGGCUUGAUUUCUUGAAAGUAUGAAGCAUGAAAGGUGAUGACUUGAUCUGUUAGACACGCCUGUGUAAUGGUUACCUAUACUUUAUGGCCAGCCCUGUCCUCCCACCUCAGACAGAGAAAACAGCAGGUCACUGCUCGGCUUGGGACGGCGUGGGGAACCGGUGUGUGGCCAUUUGCUGGACAAAGGUGGCAGCCAGGCUGUCCUGCCCUCCCAAACCUGCUGCUGCAUUGCACUUAGCCUUCUUUAUGGCUCUGCUGCACUUCAUGCUGCUGCCAACAGCACACAGCGUCUUGUGUCAUUGGCACUGAACAGAGCAUCUGCGACAAGAGAAACAUCAUUAAAGAACAGCGUUUUGAAACUCUGCUGUUACAGACAGUUCAGCUGCUGUCUGGAAAGGUGCAAAGGGGCCCUGCUCUGCAGGAUGAAAAACAAGCACAAGGGCUGCCUAGAGAGAAGAAACUUUGUCCUGUGCUGACGCUGCUGGCUGCAUCACUUCCCUCGGCCUGACUCAGCACUGCCACGCUCCCCACAACACCUCCCAGCGGGCAGCAGCCGCUGCCCAAGCCGAAUCGUGCAGGAUUCUGCACCUUGCUGGUGGUCCCGAGCAGCAAUCUAGAUCUUUCCCUCUUCCUGAGCAAGGCUGUCUUGCUUCAAGCUGCUGCCGAAGGAGGACGCGCGGCUGCCGCGCUCCCUGCAGCAGGAGAUGCUCUUGUGCUUCAGCAGCGCUGUUGCCAUGGCUUUGCCCCGGUGUACAUGAGAUCAGAGGCUGGCUCCCUGCCGCCGAGUGUGGCAUUUGCAAGAACUGAACGGAAUUAUGCUUGUCAUUGUUUGCUUUUUGUUUUUCCCAAACAAAAGUAACAAUAGUACUGCAGACCAAACCCUCACCUUGAGAAAAACGAGGAGUUGGUGUUUUCUUAGGGAAGCCCAACAGAGCUAAAACAAACCAGAGGACCAGUCCCUAAAUCUGAAUGCUGUGGCUGUGGUCGCUGUGGCUGUGUUUUCAGUGCUUUCAUCUUCAGUGCCUUGUUUAACAACUCUUGUUGUUUGGCUAAGUGAGGACUGGGAGGCAGGAGACCCAACACCAACUCUCCAGCUCUGCCACAGAGAUUCUGGGUAGGUCAGAGUAAAUGGCUGGAUGUCUUGAUUCUAUUUGUCCCCUUCCAAAAAGGAGAAGUAACUUCAGGUAACUUCUGCAUUUUGAGUCUUUAGGUGAUAUUGAUGAGAUCCUGGAGUGGCUCUGCAACAGCCCUCUACUAGGAGCAUAUGGGGCAAGAAUCAGAUUUUUAAGUUGUUAAGUAUAUGAGUGGAGGAAGGUGAUGCAGGUGUAGGUAAGGUAGUAAGGAGACAAACUCUGAUCCCCUUCUCUUAAGUGGUUUGAAAUAUNNNNNNNNNNUUGGUGAACAAAGAAGUUCCUCUGAUCCCCUUCUCUUAAGUGGUUUGAAAUAUUUUUUUGGAACAGGGAUUUUCCUUUCCUUUAUGCAUGUAUACCAUGCAUAUACUGAAUUCAGCUAUGCAUUGUAUAUGCACAGCAUUCAGAACUUGUGGCUGUAGUAUGAAUAAUUGGGUAGUUUGAGCAAAAUUUCCUCCAUUUAAAAUGUUGCAAAGUUUUCUGAAAAAUGUUAAAAUUAAAAUACAUUCAUAACUGUUGUGCCUCUAGCAUUCUGUAUAUGAGGAGACAGCUUCCUGUAAAAGAAUUAUUUUUUAUUUUCAUUAUCCUUUUAUGAAGGCUUAAAUUAUCUUGAGUUAUUCAACAAAACCCACAAAAUUGCUCUUUACGCAAUUACUCAGAGAGGGUGUUCCAUUAUGUGACAGUCACACAACCACAUAAUAUCUCUUUCAUCUAUAACUUUCUUCCACUUUUGCCCACUAAGUGUCUGAGAAAGUAAGACAGGAUUAAAAUAUUCCAAUGGACACAUGCUGGCCUGGGUGUUGAUCAUGCCCAGGGAAAAAAUCAACAGAUUUCCACAUGGUCCAAAGAGGCCUAUUUGUUAGGAGAAAUAGUGUGGAUGUGCCAGAUUGCCCUAAACAGGAUUGUGUGAUUUGACUUGCUUUCAUAAUUUCAGAGCAUCUGAUUUCUUUCUUAUCCUAAGCACUGAUCUUCUGGUGGGUGGUUUUUCUUGAACUCUAGUACCCAGAAAGUAGCCAGAAAGGAAGAUGAUAGCACCAAGCAUCGAGACAAUUAAACUUUUGACCAAGGACUCGGUGGGUUUUGGGGAGCACUUAAAGGAUUGAGUUUGAGAGUCUUGAUUUGGAGCCUCGUCCUUUUGGAUUGCAAUCUGUAAAAGAAAGAAAACAUCACUUCUCCAUCCCAGUGAGGUACUGUGAGCAUAAGUAUGUUAAAAAUCAUGAAGCACUUCAAUACUGUGGUAAUGGAGGCUAUAUAACAAGGAUGGGCAGAAAACCAAGAAAGCUUUUUAUAUAUUUCAAUUUAGUUUUUGAAAUGUAAUGACACUGAGCCAAGUCCUUGGUGGGUAUAAGCAGUUUCACUGAAUCAUUGAGAACCAGGCUGGUUGAAAAUUUUGCAGACGUUUCUAUGAUGUGAGCUUCUUAGACUUACAGCCACAUGAGAAGGCUUUCCAGUGAGACCCUGGGCAUGGUGCUGCAGCUGUAGAUUGCCAGAGCCACACUAUGCACCAGUGAGAUGCUCUGAGAUGUGCACCUGCUGUGCUUGGUCAAUGGGAACUCAUGGAUUUAUUAAGUCUUUAAAAGCCCCCGGGAAGGAUAAAAGGGUGGAUAAUAAACCACCUCUGAAAAUAUGGCAUUUUAAGGUAUAUCAAAGCUUCCUUUAAGAAAGACAGAUUACAUUUUUACUUUUGAUGUCUGCAGGCUGAAUCUUCUUCAGCCUAAGAUCCAUUAAAGGACUUAUCGUACAGGGCUGGCUGAAUGAAUGGUUUAAUGAUAAACAGUCAAACAGUGCCAAAGCCUGAAAAGCUGCAGGUGCAGGUCCCCCAGCAGGGCUCUUUGAAGUCAUACUCAACUUUGAAGUGCUCUUCAGGUUUUACCUUCACCUUCCAGCAAGCCUCCCAGCUAGCCAGAAAGAUUUUCCAUCUGUAGCCUCGUUGAGGGCCAGUGGGUAGGUGCUGAGGGCAUCUUCGCUUCCUCGGUGCUCGGGGGAGGCUGCAGAAGAGCCACGCUGAAAUCUCAGCUCUUUAGGAGCAGUUUGGAGUUGGGUGACUUUUGAAGUUUUUCCUGCCUUUAUUAGAGCUUCUGGGGGAAAUAUAUAUAUAUAUAUACAAAUAAAAAGUAAGUUCUCCCUAGUGCACUUAGUAGAUCACCUUGGGGGGGAAUUUGGGGGGAAUUGGGGGGUUUUGUUUUAAAUUUCCAAAGCAAACUGCUCAGUUGAAUUACCUGAUUAGCAACUGAUUAAAAUACAGAGGCUCAUGGCCACAUCGUGUUGCAGGCUUGUGCAUCUUAUCCUUGUGAGAAAAAUCUCAAUAAUUGUCUUCAGGCAGGACCAUCUUUCUUUCUCACAUACUUAUUGCCUGUUUCUCAUAGAUCUGUGUGAGAAUAUUCUGUGUANNNNNNNNNNCUGUUUCUUAGGCACAAAGAGUCACUUUCAACUUCAUGUCCAGAAUAUGCUAAAUGUUGAAAUUUUCUCUCUUUGAUGGUGAAAGAUGCAUUACAGAUUAACCUUUAGCAUGUUUGAUUCUUCCGUGAACUUUAUGUGCAGUUAUUCAUAGAUCUGUGUGAGAAUAUUCUGUGUAUAGUAAAAGUUGAUUCCUUUAUUUAAUUCAAUAAGUAUUCAUCUAAAAAUGCAGAUUCAUGUCUUUAUAUUAGGAGAAAACAGACUUCAUAAAUUGCAGCCUUUUAUAAAACCAAGUUUCCAAAUGUCUUCAAGAUCAAACAUAAGGAAUGAAUCAUUUAGUCAAGCCUGUGGUUCUUCGAUUGGGUGUUGAAUGAAUGUGCUUUAAUUCGAACCCUCUCAGGGCCGAGUUUCAGUCAGAACGUUAAAACAAAUGCUUGCUCAUCUUGGAGCAGAAAUGUUCAUCACUGGGCAAGAGUUAGAAAACAUUAAAAUGUAAAACUAAAAUAGCAAAAUAGCAAACAAACAAACAAAGCCAGGCAAGCAUUUUCUUGCCCAAUUGUGUGUUUAUAUGUAAUAAAAAUUCUGCAGAUUCUGCAGCACAUAAUGACAAAGAAUUUGAUCCCCUAGAAUAGGACAGGGUGGGUAAAUUGUUUGUUCCUUAUUCCCUACAAACCAGGUUUGUAAAUUCGGGUCAGAUUCUAGCAGGUAAUGCUGCCCUGAUGCUGAUAGGUGAGCAGAGGAGAGGCACUUGGAGAUGCAGGCCACCGGGGCUCUUCCUCUGGAUGAUUAUCCCAGAGGCUGCAGAGCAGAUAAUGAAAGACCUGGCAGGGAAGGAUUUAAAGCGAGGGA